GCUUGGCCCUCUUCCAAGUGUACUUCACUUCCUUUCAUUCCUACUCUAAAGCCUUUUAAUCAACUUUCACUCCUAUUCUAAACUUUACCUCACUCUUUCAUUCUGCCUUAUGUCCCUUGGUUGAAUUUUUUCCUUCUGCAGAGGAAAUAAUUGAGAUUGCUGUAGAUGUGUGCAGAUUCACCACAGAUAGCAAAUAGGUUAAUUAAACAUGCCAACUUAUUAGAAAAAAAAGAGGAAGGAAGGAAAUUAUGUUUCACAGCGCAUCUUAUAUAAGAGAUCAGAGCAAGAAUCAAAAGGUGUUCUGUGAGAAGAAAAAUGUACAAUAAUGGAAGACAGGCACUCUCUCAGACUGUACUCAAUUAAGGUAAAAGAGGACCAUUAAUGAGUCUCAGAACUACAGAGAGAAUAUAAAUGCAUAUUGGCUGGGCUGAAUAUAUAGACGUCAGCAGGUCCCAAGAGGCCUUGCCAUUCUGUUGUUACAUCUUUGACUGUUUCUGCUGUCAUGUAAGAAAAUCCAGCUGGACUACCUAAUGAAGAAACUGCAUGAUGAAAGCGGCUCACACAACAGCCAUCACCGAGGCACCAGACAGCAGACUAUCGAGGGUCAACAG
rnacentral:lncRNA from 1 species